GUAGUUGUUGUUGUUGUUGUUGUUGUUGUUCACUCAGCAGCUUGAUGUCAGAUUACAGGAAGUUCGGUCCUUGAAAUACAGAAGACUAAUGAUACAAAUAAUAGCUAGUUUCUAUUCAUUGCCUAGUUUUGUUGCUAAGUUUUACAAAGCAUGUCUAUACUAACUAUUAAAGGAGGGAUCAUCGAGUUUUUCAAAGUACUCUGGUGAUCCACACUGUUCAUCUUUAUUGUUCUUUUCAAGUGCUUGUGUUCAUGAGAAAAAUCUGGGGUUAUCGAAUGGAAAAUUUGGAUCUAGCUUGAAAUGGACUAGUGAAAAUUCGCUGCCCACAAUUGGAGAACUUGUUGAGGAAGUGUUGGCUGAGAAUAUAUCAGUGAGGUCUGAUUCUGAACGGUGCAUGUUAUGAACCAUUCCAAAACCGUUCAUCUGACAGCUGCUUGAGAUUGAGAAGUAGUUUGAUUCAGGGGUUGUAGGAGAGACAAAAGACGGUGAAUAGCCGCCACCUAUCAUCAGAUUUUCAUCAACAUGGGAAAUCUGGAAUUGUCGAUUUUCAUCAAUCAAACCAGAGAAUGUUGGAGGAAAGGAGAAUGAACAUGCUGCUGUCUCAUUCUUGUCCAAAUCAUUAGUAUCGACUCUCAGGUUUGCUUUCAAGUUCAUCAGUAUUUCAUUUGAAUAUUGCUCUGUUUCAUAGUUGGCUUGUUUCUCGAAUUCCUGGUUUUCUGGUGAUUUCGGUUGUAGUGCAGAAUUACUAGCUUGGUGACAAGUAUGAGAGCCUUUGUAUGUGAUCUCAAAUACAGUAGGAUCAUCACCUGACCUUUGCACUUGUUUUGUCGUCCAACAAUUUUGCAUGUGACGAUAUGUGCAUCUGUAGUAACUUCUGCAAAACAUAUAUAUAUAUACUUGGUAUCAGAACAUAGGACUUUGUUUCUGAGAAUUCCUAGAAAAGUAUACUGUUGAUUUCUUAAUUAUGUACUCAGAGGAGGAUCUAGAAUUUAAAUUCUAUGAGUUCAGCAUUUAAGUUUCUUACCAUUGAGCAAUAAUUUGUUGCAAUUUUAAUGGAUUUUUACAUAUAAAUUUCGAAAGUUAUGGUUUAGUGGAACCCGGUGUCAGAAGGCUAGAUCCGUGCCUCCAUGUACUACUAAUAAAGCAUGACCAACAGAGGAUAAGAACUUUUGAUAUUUGAAGUUGAAAGGUAGACAUAAGCUGCUUAUAACAACAACAACAACUACCCUGUAUACUCCCACAAAGUGGGGUCUGGGGAGGGUAAUAUGUAGACGAGCCUUACCCCUACCUGAAAGGGCAGAGAGGCUGUUUCCAAUCGACCCUCGGCUCAGUGAACAUAAGUUGCUUAUAUUUGGUGCAUUUUAUAUUUAGAGCAUGAGAAGGAAUUGACUUAUUACCGAGGAUAUUUAGCUCCAAGAAUGUCUUUCUGACCGUACUUUCUCCAGCUAUAUCCAUCAUCAAUAGGACCUUCAAAUCCAGUCUCUGCACUGACUUUGACUUGUUCAGUCCAUGUAGGCUGUGAUUUUCUGCAACAUACAUCAAGAACCAGGUUAAGUUGACUUAUUCCACGUUUCAUUUUAUAUGACAUUGUUUGGCUGGACACAAAGUUUAAAAAAGAAACUUUGGACCACAUAUUAAAAGUAUCCUUAAAACUUGUUAAUUUAAAUGUCAUGACAUUUCCCGGGGUAGAGCUAGCCUUUGCGGUUGGGGGUUCGGCCGAACUCAAUAGUUUUGGUUCAAACUAUAUAUUUGUUUUAUGAAAUCCAUUGAAUAUAUAAACUAUUAAUUUAGAACUCAGUAGCUUAAAAGGACUAAAAUUUCAAACUCAUUCUGGCUCCGCCGCUAGUCACAUUUCUAUGGUUAUAAGAGCAUGUUCUUAAGAGAAUAAGUGAUAUGUAAAGUUCCAGAGUUUCUAAAUAUAGAAAAAUGUUAUUUUUUUAACGGAAUUUGAUCUACCUCUUCUUUGAAACAUUUAUGAGCUCCUGAUGAUCUUUGAAACUCCUUUUCUUGUCCUCACUCCCAGGACUUCCAUCAACUGAAACAGAAGGUUCGAUCGCGCCACAUGUUGGAGUCACAGGCUGUGGAGAUUGAACGGCCGAUCCACUGCAUUUGAGAAUUAACAGAGAUUGCUCAUAAGAAGAAAGAAUCUUCUGCAGAAGCAAUUCUUGAUUUUCAGAAGUGGAAGCCAUUGAGCUCAAGUAAGAUCUAAGUUGCUUUGUGUGUUCAAUACCUCGAGUUAGCUCAUUGAUAAGUGUAAUAUAUUUCCAAUUGAAAGCACAAUCCAUUUUAAAAGAAGGAAUUGGAAAAGAAAAAGGGGAGCUAUUAUGUAGCCUAGACGCGGCCCCAAGUUUCCCCAACAACAGCUUGCUUAGUAGCUCAACUCUUUCUUCUGACGCGGCGUGUUGAGUUUCUUAGUAAGUGUACUUGAACUUGAAG
rnacentral:lncRNA from 1 species